CAGUAUAUAAUGUGAUUGGGUACACCUGUACCCUCCGCCCUGUUUAAUUAGUACACUCUGCCGUGUGGAGGCGGCAUCGUUGUACGGAGCCUAAUCGGCUAACCACAAGAAACAAAAGAAGACAAACUGCGCGCGCGUGCGUAUAAGUGCGCGCACACCUCCCAGUAAACGGACAACAGACGCUAAAGAAGCAGAGAAAGUGGUCUGAGAAGACGCAGAUUCAAGGUGAUGUAUUGGAUUCAGAUCUGCUGACUGGGGAUGCCACUGAAGUACACUGAACCCACCGUGGUCUUCUGCUGUUGUUGCCCACCUACCUCAAGGUCAAGGAAUAAGGUAGUAUGUUCACAUACUACUACUGCCCUAAAGUCUGCAGACAUCCAAUCAACAGCAACAUUGUGUACAGUGUGACUUCAUCAAGAUAGCAGCUCUACAUCUUGGUAACUGGAUGAGCUCAUCUAAUAAGGUAAGGACGUGGUUAGCCA